rnacentral:rRNA from 1 species
AUUGAACGCUGGCGGCAGGCCUAACACAUGCAAGUCGAACGGUAACAGGAAGCAGCUUGCUGCUUUGCUGACGAGUGGCGGACGGGUGAGUAAUGUCUGGGAAACUGCCCGAUGGAGGGGGAUAACUACUGGAAACGGUAGCUAAUACCGCAUAACGUCGCAAGACCAAAGAGGGGGACCUUAGGGCCUCUUGCCAUCGGAUGUGCCCAGAUGGGAUUAGCUAGUAGGUGGGGUAACGGCUCACCUAGGCGACGAUCCCUAGCUGGUCUGAGAGGAUGACCAGCCACCCUGGAACUUGGACACGGUCCAGACUCCUACGGGAGGCAGCAGUGGGGAAUAUUGCACAAAGGGCGCAAGCCUGAUGCAGCCAUGCCGCGUGUAUGAAGAAGGCCUUCGGGUUGUAAAGUACUUUCAGCGGGGAGGAAGGGAGUAAAGUUAAUACCUUUGCUCAUUGACGUUACCCGCAGAAGAAGCACCGGCUAACUCCGUG